rnacentral:rRNA from 1 species
UACGAAGGGUGCAAGCGUUAAUCGGAAUUACUGGGCGUAAAGCGCGCGUAGGUGGUUCAGUAAGUUGGAAGUGAAAUCCCCGGGCUCAACCUGGGAACUGCUUUCAAAACUGCAUGACUAGAGUACGGUAGAGGGUAGUGGAAUUUCCUGUGUAGUGGUGAAAUGCGUAGAUAUAGGAAGGAACACCAGUGGCGAAGGCGACUACCUGGACUGAUACUGACACUGAGGUGCGAAAGCGUGGGGAGCAAACAGG